AGAGUUUGAUCCUGGCUCAGGACGAACGCUGGCGGCGUGCUUAACACAUGCAAGUCGAACGGUAAGGCCCUUCGGGGUACACGAGUGGCGAACGGGUGAGUAACACGUGGGUAAUCUGCCCUGCACAUCGGGAUAAGCCUGGGAAACUGGGUCUAAUACCGAAUAGGACCACAGGACACAUGUCCUGUGGUGGAAAGCUUUUGCGGUGUGGGAUGGGCCCGCGGCCUAUCAGCUUGUUGGUGGGGUGAUGGCCUACCAAGGCGACGACGGGUAGCCGGCCUGAGAGGGUGUCCGGCCACACUGGGACUGAGAUACGGCCCAGACUCCUACGGGAGGCAGCAGUGGGGAAUAUUGCACAAUGGGCGAAAGCCUGAUGCAGCGACGUCGCGUGGGGGAUGACGGCCUUCGGGUUGUAAACCUCUUUCACCAUCGACGAAGGUCCGGGUUUUCUCGGGCUGACGGUAGGUGGAGAAGAAGCACCGGCCAACUACGUGCCAGCAGCCGCGGUAAUACAGAGGGUGCAAGCGUUAAUCGGAAUUACUGGGCGUAAAGAGCUCGUAGGUGGUUUGUCGCGUUGUUCGUGAAAACUCACAGCUUAACUGUGGGCGUGCGGGCGAUACGGGCAGACUUGAGUACUGCAGGGGAGACUGGAAUUCCUGGUGUAGCGGUGAAAUGCGUAGA
rnacentral:rRNA from 1 species